rnacentral:rRNA from 1 species
AGCUGGUCUGAGAGGAUGACCAGCCACACUGGAACUGAGACACGGUCCAGACUCCUACGGGAGGCAGCAGUGGGGAAUAUUGCACAAUGGGCGCAAGCCUGAUGCAGCCAUGCCGCGUGUAUGAAGAAGGCCUUCGGGUUGUAAAGUACUUUCAGCGGGGAGGAAGGGAGUAAAGUUAAUACCUUUGCUCAUUGACGUUACCCGCAGAAGAAGCACCGGCUAACUCCGUGCCAGCAGCCGCGGUAAUACGGAGGGUGCAAGCGUUAAUCGGAAUUACUGGGCGUAAAGCGCACGCAGGCGGUUUGUUAAGUCAGAUGUGAAA